CUUUCAACGGUGGAUAUCUUGGCUCACACAACGAUGAAGAACGCAGCGAAAUGCGAUACGUAAUGCGAAUUGCAGAACUUAGUGAAUCAUCAAAUCUUUGAACGCACAUUGCGCUUCCGGGUAACUGGGAGCAAGCCUGUUUCAGUGUC
rnacentral:rRNA from 1 species